GCUCCAUUACUCCAAUUGGCAGAGGCCAGACUUAAAAUCUGUGUUAUGUAUCGGUUCGAAUCCGAUAUGGAGUACCA
rnacentral:tRNA from 1 species